rnacentral:rRNA from 1 species
UGGCUCAGGAUGAACGCUAGCGGCAGGCCUAACACAUGCAAGUCGCGGGGCAGCACGGGUAGCAAUACCUGGUGGCGACCGGCGCACGGGUGCGUAACGCGUAUGCAACCUGCCCCCAUCAGGGGAAUAGCCCGCCGAAAGGCGGAUUAAUGCCCCAUAGGCCCAGGGCGCCGCAUGGCGCUAUGGGUAAAGCUCCGGCGGAUGGGGAUGGGCAUGCGUGCCAUUAGCUAGUUGGGGCGGUAACGGCGCACCAAGGCGACGAUGGCUAGGGGGUCUGAGAGGAUGGUCCCCCACACUGGUACUGAGACACGGACCAGACUCCUACGGGAGGCAGCAGUGAGGAAUAUUGGCCAAUGGGCGGAAGCCUGAACCAGCCAUGCCGCGUGCAGGAUGACGGCCCUACGGGUUGUAAACUGCUUUUCCCCGGGAAGAAUAAGCCCCUCGUGAGGGGUGAUGCGGGUACCGGGGGAAUAAGGAUCGGCUAACUCCGUGCCAGCCGCAGC